AGCUAGUUCCCUGAGGGAUAUUUUUCUACUCAGAAUCCAGCAUUGUAUCUAUAGGCACUUCUCUUCAGUGUCUGAUCUGCAGCUUACAGAGCUGCGAGCACUGAAUGUGGGAACUUGGACUGCUAUUCUGAGCACAUUUCAGAAAACUCUGUUGCGUCCCAUUACGUGCCUGUCUUUGAUCUCAAAUUGAAAAUCUCGGAGCCUCUUCCUCCAAUCCAAAAGCAAAUAAAUAGCGAAAGAAAGAAACAACUCUCCUCUCAGCACGUAGGGCCUCCACGACUGAAAAAUGAAGGUGGCAGUAAUAGCUCUGAUGAACCUGUUUGGACAACAGACAGCAACAAAUACCUGUCUCUGUGGAGGAGUUUAAGAGCACUGCAGAGAUCCUCAGACAGUGCAGAGCCUCUUGGCUUACACAGGCCACUGUCUUUCUCUCCAAACAAUACCAGCCAAGCUUCCUCGGUACCUACAGCUGAAGAGCUGCGGGAACGGGACAGUAACUAAUGCAGCUUUCAAAUUUGAAUCUCCUGGUAUUAUUAAAACAUAACCAAUGAAAGAAAGAAAAAAAGAAAGGAAAAAGGCAUGAAUUUUAAGCAAGAUGAGGGAUUUGAUUCUGAGGAAGAAAACUACACAUGGAGGCUUGAAGGGCAGUCCUGACUGUUUUUUCUCCACCCAGCUACUUUACUCGUGGCCCUUUGAAAGCAGCGAUUUCUGUGAAUCAGCAGUUAAAACGGAUUUGCUGACAGAGCCCCAAAGUUGCCAGAGGCCAUCCUCAUCUCGUUACGUGCUCUUUCUGCAGAUGGUUGGGGCUGGUGGGACGAUUGCUGCCCCUCCUCGAGGGACUCCACACCAAGCGCUGCAGGCCUCUGGGCUGAGACACAGUGGAUGA
rnacentral:lncRNA from 1 species